AUGCUCCGGGACGCGUCUGCGCCGCGAUGCCCUUGGGCGAGCCGAGCUGAGCGGGGAAUGAGCGCCGGCACCGGGAGCACCGGGAUGCGGGAACGGCGGGAUGCGGGAACGCCGGGAUGCGGGAACACUGGGAUGAGGGAACACCGGGAUUCAGCGCACCGGGAUGCGGGAACGCCGGGAUGCGGGAACGCCGGGAUUCAGCGCACCGGGGAAGGGAACACCGGGAUGCAGCUCACUGGGAUGCGGGAACAGCGGGAUGCGGGAACAGCGGGAUGCAGGAACACCGGGAUGCAGCGCACCGGGAUGCAGGAACAGCGGGAUGCGGGAACACCGGGAUGCUGCGCACCGGGAUGCAGCGCACCGGGAUGCGGGGACAGCGGGAUGCAGGAACACCGGCACGCAGCGCACCGCGGCCCCGCGCCUCCCUCACCUCCGCUCCGCGCACCGCAGCUCCCCAGCCCCGCGCUGCCCGCUCUUAAAUCCUCACCUUUCCCCCUCCCUCGCUCCCUCCCCGUUCCCUCCUCCCCUGCUCACCUCCCUCCCCCGCUGCUGCCGUGCGCGGCCCCGGUCCCUGCGCCCCGCCCGCCGCCGCCGCCGCCCCGCCCGCCGCCGCUGCCGCAGCCGCUGCGCUCGGUUUGCGGCGCGGGGAGCGGGGGAGGAGGAGCCGGGCUGGGGAAACCCGUGGGACGGAGCUGGCUGGCACCUCCGGGACGCCGGCUGUUUCCCUGGAGAGCUCCGUGCUUCCCCGGCUUUUCCCGGCGCUGGAGUCAUGCGGGAUGCGCCGCAGCUGCCCCGCAUUGAGCGGCUUCUUAUCGUACCUCUCUGUCGCGACAGACACCCUUCACAUCGCACCCCUGCAUCGCGACAGACACCCCUGCAGCGUGCUUAUCCUGCCUAGGGUGCCGGCAAGUGCCUGCGACAAUCCCGGCUCCAAGGGAAUGAGUGGGAAGGCGCUGGAUCUGCAGUUGCAGCGGGAGGAGAGGGGAUUUGGGAUAAUUCACUUUGAUCCGGUUCCCCCAGGUGCCGGAUGAGGGGUUUCCAGGGCGGAGAGAUCGGGAUGGACAAGUAUUUACAAGACUUGAGCUGAAAUCCUGUCCAAUUCCAUCACCCUGCCAGUCAUGAAGCUCAGGUUCCCGUAUAUUCACUUUAUUCUGUUUCAGAGAUAAAAAAAAUCUUAAUUUAGUGUCCUGCUCGCUACCAAACAUCUACUUUGGAACGUAACUUUGCAGUUUAAGUGAGAAAUAAAAGUGUCAGAAAUGCUUUUUCCCCUGGAGCAGCAGAUUCCGGGCACAACCUCCCCCACCGAACAAAGCGUCGCUGCCUUCCGACCACAAAGGAAUGCAAACCCUUUCGAGGGCCAGGUGUAACAGCUGGCGUCAAAGCUGUUCUUCUCCUGUUCGAACUCAUUUUAACGAUGCUUUAAAACCGCUCUUUCCUUUAAAAGGCGCUUGCACAAACCGAGCGGCGCAGGUGACAAAGGGGCCAUCAGGAUGUGCCGCUUUCCUGCCCAACCCAGCAGAGUUUUUAUGGAUGUUGACUGCGGGACUGAUGCUUGCUUAGGCUUUGAUAUGAAAAUAUUCGCAUGCAAAGGCUUUGUUUAAAAUCAGAUCUAGCUGGGAGCAGAGCCUUGGAGCUCAGUGCUGUGUCUGGGCACACUCGGCGUGAAAUCCCAGGAAAUGGCCACAGUGGUUUUGCCAGUGAUCACCCGAUCCCCUAAAAACCCUGGCAAAAGCAUUAAAAGGGGUUAUCAGGGCACUUGCUCCACACAGCAGUUUAAUUUCGGGUAUUUAUUCCAGGAGCUGCUCUAUACAGAGGAGAAUUUACAAAACCUGCCCCACAGUCUCGUUAGCACCUGAUGAGCUGCUGCUUCUGAUGGGCACAGAGCCCCUGGAUUUUGGAAUUAUUUCAGUUGGAAAAGAUCUCCAAGAUCACCGAGUCCAAGUGUUCCCAAAGCCACCACUAAAUUCUGUCCCCAAAACUUUUAGAUCCCUCCAGGGAUGGGGACUCCAUCCCAGCUGUGCCCUGCCCUUUGUUCUCAAUUGUUCUCAAAAUCCAAAGUGAACCUCCCCUGGCACAACCUGACUGUCCCCUCCUGUCAGGAGUUGUGCAGAGCCACAAGGUCCCCAAAAUUAUCCCCACAACGGCCAAAAUUCACCUCAGAAUUCACCUCAAAGUUCACCUCAAAAUUCACCCAAAUUCACCUGAGGUGAAUUUUGGCCGUUUUUGGGGUAGUUUUUGGGAUAAUUUCAAGGUGAUUUGGGUAAACUUUGAGGUGAAUUUUGGGUGAAUUUUGGACAGUUUUGGGGAUAAUUUUGGGAUAAUUUUGAGGUGAAUUGGUUAAUGUGGGUGAAAUUUGAGGUGAAUUUUGGGGGAGUUCUGGCCAUUUUUGGGGAUUAAAAAAACCCCCAAAACCCUGAUCCCCCUUUUCCCCAGGCUGAGCCCCUUUCCAGCUCCCUCAGGAGUUCUCCAGCCCCUUCCCAGCCCCCUCAGCCCCUCCCUUCAUCAAGGUGAUUUGGGUAAACUUUGAGGUGAAUUUUGGGUGAAUUUUGGACAGUUUUGGGGAUAAUUUUGGGAUAAUUUUGAGGUGAAUUGGUUAAUGUGGGUGAAAUUUGAGGUGAAUUUUGGGGGAGUUCUGGCCAUUUUUGGGGAUUAAAAAAACCCCCAAAACCCUGAUCCCCCUUUUCCCCAGGCUGAGCCCCUUUCCAGCUCCCUCAGGAGUUCUCCAGCCCCUUCCCAGCCCCCUCAGCCCCUCCCUUCACCCCCAGGUGAGUUCAGCAGUUGCUGUGGAGGAAGGUUCAAUGUUGGGUACAUUUGCCUUUGACACACUCUGGCUGAAGUGGAAAAGGAUUUGCCUGACACUGAAUUUCAGAUUUGCUGAUAAUCCAGUUUUGUUUGCCUUGAGACAAGACAGGGCUGCAAGGGCCCUGCCAGAAGAACCUUUGGAGUCGGAGCUGAUUGAAUUCAGGGUUAACAGCUCUUUUCUGAGAAGUAGGACAGGGUUUAAUGGAAAGGAGGUUUGGUUUGAUUUAUCAGGCUCUGCUGGGGAGGGAGGCAAGGCUCUGCUUCCUCCUGAGCCUCCUGCUGCUUCCUCCCCUGACUCAGGAGAAGCCUCUUGCAAGGAAUGAAAAGCAAAUUAACAAAACAGGAGCAAAAAGUGGAAAAAAAAAAAAAAAAAGAAAUAAAGAAUUAACUUUUGAAUUAACUUUUCUAUUAGAGCAAGGUUCUAAAAAGACACACUUCAUGUGGUUAAAUAAAUCUAUUUCUAAACCUAACCCUUGCAUGUACCAGCUGCAGGAUGACCCUUCUGUGCUGAGCCCCAAAACCUCCCAGUGCCUUAAAAUCAGGCCUAUAAAAUAAAAGAUGAGGAACACAACUACAUUAAAUUGCCAACUUCCUCGGGGUUACCAUCCUCCUGCUCCAGACCUGCUUGAACCUCAGCCUUCCCUGAGAGCCCUGUGCUUGUCAUGGUGAAAAUCAGACCAAAUCACCUGUAUAAAGCAGAUAAAAAUAGGGGAGUUUGUUUCCUUGUCUCCCCAGUUUCCUGGUUUGACCCCUGGGGAUUUAUUUUUGUUACUUAUUGCUGGGGAUUCCAGCUUGGCUUUGGCUCCUGCAGGAGACAUCCAGCUCAGCCCCUGGAGACAGGAAUAAAAUCCCUGCCCUGCCAGGAAGGCCAACAUGGCAUUUCUAGAGCCUGGGAAUAUUUCCUGAGCCUUUGGGCAGGAAUAUUUUACGGCAGGGCAGGUUCUUCCCAGCCUGGAGCGUGGAGGGUUUUCCAAAAGAUCAAAUUUCAUAGAAUCCCAGAAUGGUUUGGGUUGGAAAGGACCUUAAAAUCACCCAGCGCCACCCCAUCCAUGGCAGGGACACCUCCCACUGUCCCAGGGUGCUGCAAACCCCAGUGUCCAACCAACCCUGGACAUUUCCAGAGAUCCAGGGGCAGCCACAGCUGCUCUGGGCACCCUCCCCACCUUCACAGGGAGGAAUUUCUCCCUAAAAUCUGAUCUGAGCAGGUUGAGGAUGUUCCUGCAAGCCCAACAAAGCAAC
ensembl:lncRNA